AGGACUCUCUCACCCUUCGCUUACCCUGCUCCAAGCCUGCUGACCUCCUUGCAGUCCCUCCAGUGUACCAGAUACAAGGCAUCCAGUGGAGAAAUCCAAGCCUCCCAGGAAUGGUGAAUCUGCAAGGAUCAAGACUAAUCCAGAACAUCUCACAUUCAGACAUGCUAAAAAAAACCCCACAGUUUGAAAAGAGAGAGCAAGAGAGUGAGCAGGGGAGGCCGGCAAAGGGAGAGAGAGAAUCCCAAGCAGGAGUCCAACACAGGGCUCCA